AUUGAACGCUGGCGGCAGGCUUAACACAUGCAAGUCGAGCGAGCGGCGGACGGGUGAGUCAUGUCUGGGAAACUGCCUGCUGGAGGGGGAUAACUACUGGACACGGUAGCUAAUACCGCAUACCAUCAGAUGUGCCCAGAUGGGAUUAGCUAGUAGGUGGGGUAAUGGCUCCCCUAGGCGACGAUCCCUAGCUGGUCUGAGAGGAUGACCAGGUACACUGGAACUGCGACACGGUCCAGACUCCUACGGAGGGCAGCAUGGGGGAAUAGUGCACAAUGGGCGCAAGCCGGAUGCAGCCAUGCGGCGUGUGUGAAGAAGGCCUUCGGGUUGUAAAGCACUUUCAGCGAGGAGGCGUUACUCGCAGAAGAAGCACCGGCUAACUCCGUGCCAGCAGCCGAGGUAAUUC
rnacentral:rRNA from 1 species